UGCGUAGGCGGCUCUUUAAGUCAGUGGUGAAAUCUUGCCGCUUAACGGUAAAAUUGCCAUUGAUACUGAAGAGCUUGAGUACAGUUGAGGUAAGCGGAAUGUGUAGUGUAGCGGUGAAAUGCUUAGAUAUUACACAGAACACCAAUUGCGAAGGCAGCUUACUAAACUGUUACUGACGCUGAUGCACGAAAGCGUGGGAGCGAACAGGAUUAGAUACCCUGGUAGUCCACGCCGUAAACGAUGCUCACUCGCUGUUUGCGAUACACAGCAAGCGGCCAAGCGAAAGCAUUAAGUGAGCCACCUGGGGAGUACGAUCGCAAGGUUGAA
rnacentral:rRNA from 1 species